ACUUCCUCUUAGUUGUAGAGCUCUUGCAUUUUGAAUCAUUACUUUUCCAAAAUAAGUAAAUAAUUAUGUUGAAUAAAUUUAAGUUCACCCAAAACAUCUCACCACGGAGGGUAACGGGAAUUGCAAUGGUUUUAUUGCUAAUUUGGAGGGAAAUGGCAUUUUUAUAUCAUGCGUCUUCCCAGCUGGUAACGUGGGCACUCCAUUUAUUUAAAUCUGUUUUAUGACCUUUCAUAACAUUUAUUGUUUUUUUUCAGACAGGCUCAUCAUUCCUUGUUGGAUUUCUUCCUGGACUUAUUUAAAAGUUGUUAUAGCUAUUAUGAAUGAGCUUUUUUAAAAAUUGUAAUUCCUAACUAUAUUACUGGUGUAGAAGAAAACUACAGAGCUGGUAUCCAGCUACUUUAUUGAUUUCUUACUGUUUCUAUUGGCUUUUAUUUUUCAUUAGUAGAGGUUGAGAAUUUCAGUAUUUCAUUCCCAGAUCCAUAUCUCAUUUCUUUCUCUUGUUUUCUUUGCGUUGCUGGAGCCUCCAAAACAGUCUGGGGUAACUGCUAUGCUAGCAGGCCUCCUCAUCUCAUUCCUGAUUUUAAGUCUAGUCUUUCCACUGGGUAACAUUUUCUUGUUAGUUUCUGAUAAAUACUUAGAACUCUCCUUCUAUCCUACUUUGGGAUGGAUGAUGAGUUUUAUUAAAUACCCAUUUGGCACCCAC
rnacentral:lncRNA from 1 species